CACUCGAUCUUAUAGUUUUCACUUUGCAAAAUCAUAGCUAAACUGCAGGUGGCAAAAUCCCAUGGCUAUUUAGAAUUAGAGGAAUGUAAAUUAGGUAUGAUGAAGCAUUGCCCUUUAACUAUUUCCCCCUGUGUUUUACACCAGCAGUUCUCACACCUGAGUAUGCAUCAGAAUCACCUGGCAGGCUUGUUAAAGCACAAACUGUGGGCCCUGACAACCUUCUAGUUGAGAGCUCUGCUGCUACUGCUGCUGCUAAGUCGCUUCAGUCGUGUCCGACUCUGUGCGACCCCAUAGACGGCAGCCCACCAGGCUCCCCCGUCCCUGGGAUUCUCCAGGCAAGAACACUGGAGGUGAUGCUGUUAGGAGUGGAGCCUUUGAGAGCUGAUUGCAUCAUGACCUGGUGACGGUGGAAACCCCCCACCCCGAGAAUGGAGAGCACUCUUAAAAAAGGCCGGGGAGCACUCUCUUGCCUCCUCCACCACAAGAAGAUGUGAUGAUGCAUCUGCAACCCAGAAGCAGGCCCACCCACUACUAUUCCACCCUGAUCUCAAAUUUGCAGCCUCCAGAACUGUGUGAAAUAGAUUUCUGUUGUUUUAAGCCCCUCAGUCUAUGGUUAUUUUGCUGCAGCAACCUGAA